GAUGAAGAACGCAGCGAAAUGCGAUACGUAAUGUGAAUUGCAGAUUUCAGUGAAUCAUCGAAUCUUUGAACGCACAUUGCGCCCGCUAGUAUUCUGGCGGGCAUGCCUGUUCGAGCGUCAUUUCAACCAUCAAGCCCUGGGCUUGCGUUGGAGCCCUGCGGCUGCCGCAGGCUCCCAAAUCCAGUGGCGGGCUCGUCGUCGUACCGAGUGCAGUAAACAUCCUCGCUCAGGGAACGUGACGGGUUCUUGCCGUGAAACCCCCCACAUAUCAAGGUUGACCUCGGAUCAGGUAGGAAUACCCGCUGAACUUAAGCAUAUCAAUAAGCGGAGGA
rnacentral:misc_RNA from 1 species